UACCAUACUAAAUUCUGGAGCCUUUAACUUAAGUACCAUAUUCAUCUGAAUCUAUAUAUAUAUAUAUAUAUAUAUAUAUAUAUAUAUAUAUAUAUAUAUAUAUAUAUAUAAAGUUAAUCCAAACAAGAAAGCACAAAAAAACACAACAACGCGAGGACGUGGAACAAAUAUAGUAUUAUUGAACGCUCAGGAAAGAAGGAAAGAAGACGCACACAUACAAAUAUAUAUAUAUAUAUAUAUAUAUAUAUAUAUAUAUAUAUAUAUAUAUAUAUAUAUAUAAAUGUAUAGAUAUAUGUAUACGCAUACAUACAAAUAUAUAUACAUACAUAUACAUACACUCACACAUACCCCCACACACAUAUCCUUCAUUUUGGAAUUGAGUAGGAUACCAUUGGUUUCAUGCCGAGAAAAAUUUCUCAGUAAUUAUCAAACCUGCCAUAUGGAGAAUUGAUACGCGUCUCCAUCUUGGAGACGAGUAUCGACGUUCCAUGUCACGUGAUUGAUAACUGCAGACAAAUUUUUCCUCGGCACGAAACCAAUGGUAGCCCCGUUUAACCCACAACUGAAGAAUAUUGUUACACCAAUGCGGUGUUGAGCACUCUUUCUUGCCGUUCGAUAUUAGCGUGAAUGUUUUUUAUCGAAGACAACAGGACAGCUGAUCUGAUUAGAGUUAACUGAGCCAUAGGAGGAGACGAUUGGGGGGGGGGGGGUGAAAGAAUUAAGUAGCAGAGUAAAGGCGCAUGGCUUUGUGGUGGGGUUUUUUGGUUCUGAGUUCGAUUCCCGGCGCCGCGUUCUGUCCACGUUGUUCCAGCCUCACUCAGCUGGCAUACACGUGUUGUUUUUGCACUUGAAAGGGUCGACCUCGUCACAUUUUUUAUAUCAUAUGGAGUGUCCGUGAGAACUACGCUGAGGAUAAGUUCAAAACGUGAUACUGUUUUUGUUGUUUACAUUCCAGCGAUGGGGCCUUGUAUCUGUGCAAGAAAGAAGCCAUUUCCUUACAGGAAGACAGCUGACAAUUGAAAAUAGAAGAACAUAUUCAUAUACACACACACACACACGCACACACACACAUUCAAGACUAGUGUUUUGAUGUCAAAAUCUAGACAAUGGACGAGGUUUAAGAGUCGUAAAGAGAGGAUUGGUAAUAAUUCAAGCCUUUCAGUAUAGUCAACAUCUUCAUCAUCAUCAUCAUCAUCAUCAUCAUCAUCAUCAUCAUCAUCAUCAUCAUCUCUAUUGUCAUAGACAUUGCUGUCACGAAAGUUAUCAACAUAACUAUCAACAACAACGAAUGACGCCAUCUAUACCAAUUAUACACACACACACACACGCAUAUAUAUAUAUAUAUAUAUAUAUAUAUAUAUAUAUAUAUACAUAUAUAUAUAUAUACAUACAUAUAUUUAUACAUACGUAUACAUACUUUAUAUAUAUACAUAUGUAUAUAUGUAUAUAUAUAUAUGUAUGUAUGUAUGUAUGUAUACGUAUGUAUAAAUAUAUAUAUAUAUAUAUAUAUAUAUAUAUAUAUAUAUAUAUAUGUAUAUAUGUAUAUAUAUAUAUAUACAUAUAUAUAUAUAUGUACACAUAUAUGUAUGUAUGCAUGUUUGUGUGUAUGUGUGUAUGUAUGUAUGUGUGUAUGUAUGUGUGUGUGUAUGUAUGUAUGUAUGUAUGUAUGUAUGCAUUUAUGUAUGUAUGUUUUUAUGUAUGUAUGUAUGUAUGUUUUUAUGUAUAUAUGUAUGUAUCUAUCUAUCUAUCUAUCUAUCUAUCUAUCUAUCUAUCUAUCUAUCUAUCUAUCCAUCCAUCCAUCCGAAAAGCAUAGUAAUAAAUAUCCAUCACGGCUGAUUUUUUUCAAUUGAUUUCGUGUGAAGAAUACAAAGGAGUGUUUGGUAGCAAUCCGACUAUAUAACUUUACACUCAUCAGAGAUUGCCGACAUGAAAGGGGAUAUGGCGACUACUCUCUAUUGUCGGAGUAAGAUUAACACAACCGGUCAGCGGCUGCUGACCAUCUGUCGUCGAUGACGGUCAGUUAAAAACCGUUAUCCCGAAUGGUCCAUGUAAAACCACUCCAGAACUGGCAAAAGAACUUCAUGUUAGCCAGAAAACUGCCUGCAACCAUUUGCAUGCGAUCGGAAAAUCAAAAAAGCUCAACAAAUGUGUACCACACGAUUUGAAUGAAAAUCAGAAAAUGCACAGAUAUGAAAUUUGCUCGUAGCUUAUUCUCCGUAACCAGACCGAUCCAUUUCUCGACCGUAUUGUAACUUCCGAUGAAAAGCGGAUGCGGUACAAUAAUAAAACAUGUUCUUCGCAGUGGUUGGACCAAAAUGAAGCACCGAAAACCUUCCCUAAACCCGAGCUCUUAAAAAAAAAAGGUUAUGGUGACUGUUUGGUGGUGUACUGCUGGACUCAUCCACUAUAAGUUCUUGUUGUUGGCAUCCUUUUUGUCUCGGGAGACAAUGGAGUUGCGCAUGAAGUAGUCUAGUCCGGCUUUUACAUUUCAUGUCCUGAU
rnacentral:lncRNA from 1 species